UACGUAGGGCGCAAGCGUUGUCCGGAAUUAUUGGGCGUAAAGAGCUCGUAGGUGGCUUGUCACGUCGGGUGUGAAAGCUUGGGGCUUAACUCCAGGUCUGCAUUCGAUACGGGCUGGCUAGAGGUAGGUAGGGGAGAACGGAAUUCCCGGUGUAGCGGUGAAAUGCGCAGAUAUCGGGAGGAACACCGGUGGCGAAGGCGGUUCUCUGGGCCUGUACUGACGCUGAGGAGCGAAAGCGUGGGGAGCGAACAGG
rnacentral:rRNA from 1 species